rnacentral:rRNA from 1 species
AGAGUUUGAUCAUGGCUCAGGACGAACGCUGGCGGCGUGCUUAACACAUGCAAGUCGAACGGUGACCCAGGGCUUGCCCUGGUGAUCAGUGGCGAACGGGUGAGUAACACGUGGGCAACCUGCCCCUGACUUCGGGAUAACUCCUCGAAAGAGGAGCUAAUACCGGAUACGACCACUUCGGACAUCCGAUGGUGGUGGAAAGUUUUUCGGUCAGGGAUGGGCCCGCGGCCUAUCAGCUAGUUGGUGGGGUAAUGGCCUACCAAGGCGACGACGGGUAGCCGGCCUGAGAGGGCGACCGGCCACACUGGGACUGAGACACGGCCCAGACUCCUACGGGAGGCAACAGUGGGGAAUAUUGCGCAAUGGGCGAAAGCCUGACGCAGCGACGCCGCGUGAGGGAUGAAGGCCUUCGGGUUGUAAACCUCUUUCAGCAGGGACGAAGCGAAAGUGACGGUACCUGCAGAAGAAGCACCGGCUAACUACGUG